GCGGUAACAGAUCCAGCUUGCUGGAUGCUGACGAGCGGCGGACGGGUGAGUAAUGCAUAGGAAUCUGCCCGAUAGUGGGGGAUAACCUGGGGAAACCCAGGCUAAUACCGCAUACGUCCUACGGGAGAAAGGGGGCUCCGGCUCCCGCUAUUGGAUGAGCCUAUGUCGGAUUAGCUAGUUGGUGAGGUAACGGCUCACCAAGGCCGCGAUCCGUAGCUGGUCUGAGAGGAUGAUCAGCCACAUCGGGACUGAGACACGGCCCGAACUCCUACGGGAGGCAGCAGUGGGGAAUAUUGGACAAUGGGGGCAACCCUGAUCCAGCCAUGCCGCGUGUGUGAAGAAGGCCCUCGGGUUGUAAAGCACUUUCAGCGAGGAAGAACGCCUAGCGGUUAAUACCCGCUAGGAAAGACAUCACUCGCAGAAGAAGCACCGGCUAACUCCGUGCCAGCAGCCGCGGUAAUACGGAGGGUGCAAGCGUUAAUCGGAAUUACUGGGCGUAAAGCGCGCGUAGGUGGCUUGAUAAGCCGGUUGUGAAAGCCCCGGGCUCAACCUGGGAACGGCAUCCGGAACUGUCAAGCUAGAGUGCAGGAGAGGAAGGUAGAAUUCCCGGUGUAGCGGUGAAAUGCGUAGAGAUCGGGAGGAAUACCAGUGGCGAAGGCGGCCUUCUGGACUGACACUGACACUGAGGUGCGAAAGCGUGGGUAGCAAACAGGAUUAGAUACCCUGGUAGUCCACGCCGUAAACGAUGUCGACCAGCCGUUGGGUGCCUAGCGCACUUUGUGGCGAAGUUAACGCGAUAA
rnacentral:rRNA from 1 species